rnacentral:rRNA from 1 species
UACAGAGGGUGCAAGCGUUAAUCGGAAUUAUUGGGCGUAAAGAGCUCGUAGGCGGUUUGUCGCGUCUGCUGUGAAAACUGGGGGCUCAACCCCCAGCCUGCAGUGGGUACGGGCAGACUAGAGUGCGGUAGGGGAGAUUGGAACUCCUGGUGUAGCGGUGGAAUGCGCAGAUAUCAGGAAGAACACCGAUGGCGAAGGCAGAUCUCUGGGCCGUAACUGACGCUGAGGAGCGAAAGCAUGGGGAGCGAACAGG